ACUGAAGGGCUCGCGGGGGUGACGAACUCGGUGCACUCGUACGACGUGGAGACGCGCAGGUGGACGAGGUUACAUCCUGCUGGAGAGCCUCCGUCUCCGAGGGCCGCGCAUGCUGCAGCUCCAGUGGGCACCAUGGUUGUUUUCCAGGGUGGAAUUGGACCAGCAGGGCACUCCACAGAUGAUCUCUAUGUCCUUGACCUCACAAACGACAAGUUUAAAUGGCACAGGGUUGUUGUUCAAGGGGCAGGGCCUGGUCCUCGCUAUGGUCACUGCAUGGAUUUGGCAGCUCAACAGUAUCUUGUUACUGUCUCAGGAAAUGACGGUUAGCUCCUAUAUGCACAGCUCCUCUUAAAUGUAUUUCUGCAAUAAUUACUAUGACGUCACACUUAUUUCUAGAAGGCCAUUUUAUUUGACCAGUAACACUCUUUUAACUUCCUUUUUCCAUAAUGUGUAUCCUUGUAUUCUGCUAACAAGAUAAGUAGAAAAUAGAACUACAACAU